rnacentral:rRNA from 1 species
AAACCUUCAACAACGAAUCUCUUGGUUCUGGGCCCGAUGAAGAACGCAGCGAAUUGCGAAAUGUAAUGUGAAUUGCAGAGCUCAGUGAAUCAUCUAAUUUUUGAACGCAUAUUGCGCCUGCUAUCUUAUAGCAGGCAUGCCUGUUCGAGUGUCACUA